rnacentral:rRNA from 1 species
CCCUCGGGGAAUUUGCCUUAGUACGGCGAGUGAGCGGCAAAAGCUCAAAUUUGAAAUCUGGCACCUUCGGUGUCCGAGUUGUAAUUUGAAGAAGGUAACUUUGGAGUUGGCUCUUGUCUAUGUUCCUUGGAACAGGACGUCACAGAGGGUGAGAAUCCCGUGCGAUGAGAUGCCCAAUUCUAUGUAAAGUGCUUUCGAAGAGUCGAGUUGUUUGGGAAUGCAGCUCUAAGUGGGUGGUAAAUUCCAUCUAAAGCUAAAUAUUGGCGAGAGACCGAUAGCGAACAAGUACAGUGAUGGAAAGAUGAAAAGAACUUUGAAAAGAGAGUGAAAAAGUACGUGAAAUUGUUGAAAGGGAAGGGCUUGAGAUCAGACUUGGUAUUUUGCGAUCCUUUCCUUCUUGGUUGGGUUCCUCGCAGCUUACUGGGCCAGCAUCGGUUUGGAUGGUAGGAUAAUGACUAAGGAAUGUGGCUCUACUUCGGUGGAGUGUUAUAGCCUUGGUUGAUACUGCCUGUCUAGACCGAGGACUGCGUCUUUUGACUAGGAUGUUGGCAUAAUGAUCUUAAGCCACCCGUCUUAACAACAGGGAACAAAAAAAAAAGAAAUAAAAAAAAGGAAAAAAAAGGAAAAAAACGAAAACAAAAUAAAAUGGUUUAUUUCCGGUUAUUGUAGAAAACCGAGAAAUCAAC